rnacentral:SRP_RNA from 1 species
GCCAGACUGGCUGCGCGCGACCGCCAGCAUUGUGGGUGGGACGAGCAACGCUGCAGCCGAGGCACCAGUGCGCGAGGCGUGUCGCGCCUGGGCAAACUGCAGCAUCACGCUGGCGA